UGGAAUCGGUUUUUGUUAGAAUU
rnacentral:piRNA from 1 species